CUGCGGAAGGAUCAUUACCGAGUGAGGGCCCUCUGGGUCCAACCUCCCACCCGUGUUUAUUUUACCUUGUUGCUUCGGCGGGCCCGCCUUAACUGGCCGCCGGGGGGCUUACGCCCCCGGGCCCGCGCCCGCCGAAGACACCCUCGAACUCUGUCUGAAGAUUGUAGUCUGAGUGAAAAUAUAAAUUAUUUAAAACUUUCAACAACGGAUCUCUUGGUUCCGGCAUCGAUGAAGAACGCAGCGAAAUGCGAUACGUAAUGUGAAUUGCAAAUUCAGUGAAUCAUCGAGUCUUUGAACGCACAUUGCGCCCCCUGGUAUUCCGGGGGGCAUGCCUGUCCGAGCGUCAUUUCUGCCCUCAAGCACGGCUUGUGUGUUGGGCCCCGUCCUCCGAUCCCGGGGGACGGGCCCGAAAGGCAGCGGCGGCACCGCGUCCGGUCCUCGAGCGUAUGGGGCUUUGUCACCCGCUCUGUAGGCCCGGCCGGCGCUUGCCGAUCAACCCAAAUUUUUAUCCAGGUUGACCUC
rnacentral:rRNA from 1 species